AGGCUUGUAGCUCAGGUGGUUAGAGCGCACCCCUGAUAAGGGUGAGGUCGAUGGUUCAAGUCCGCUCAGGCCU
rnacentral:tRNA from 1 species